UAUAGAUAACUAAGAGAUCCGAGUUCGAAUUUGGUAAUAAUCUAGAUAAACACGGCGCGUAGCCACCCGAAUUUUCACAUUCUUUUUUUGGAGAAAGGGAUCACUCACUAUCCUUUAAAAAAAAAAUCUAAAACAUCAAUUACUCUUAUAUCUUAAAAUUGUUCUUUGACUGUAGGAAAGAUGUGUAUUUAACCCAAAAAAAAAAGUUGAAACAUCGUCUUAAGGUGAAACCCAAGACUUUGACAAAAAAAAUGGAGAAAUCCUAGAAGCAAAUCAACAAAAUUUGAAAUAAAUAGCCGUUACAAGAAGCUGAUUAGUACUUUAAUCUCUUAAUCAAAAGAUGUUUUGGCAGAAUAAUGAAAAGACUUGUCAAUUUCACACGACUUCACGUUUCCGCAGAAAUUAGCACAUCCCGCGAUUGACUGAAGGACGUGCAAUGA
rnacentral:lncRNA from 1 species